rnacentral:rRNA from 1 species
UACGAAGGAUCCAAGCGUUAUCCGGAUUCAUUGGGUUUAAAGGGUGCGUAGGCGGUUUUGUAAGUCAGUGGUGAAAUCUCUCAGCUUAACUGAGAAACUGCCAUUGAUACUGCAGAACUAGAGUACAGAUGAGGUUGGCGGAAUGUGUCAUGUAGCGGUGAAAUGCAUAGAUAUGACACAGAACACCGAUUGCGAAGGCAGCUGACGAAACUGCAACUGACGCUGAUGCACGAAAGUGCGGGGAUCAAACAGG